GGCGGGGCGUCUCGUUGCCUUGGAAGGUCGUCAAAGCCGGUGUGCGCGCGCAUGGUGCUGUGCAAGGACGAUGAGAUAAUAUUCCGCCCUUUACAGUCAUGUGUUAUGGCUUAAAUAAGGCAUAAACCUUCUGCCUCCUGAAGCCAGGCAACGAAGAAACCUGGUCCUGUGAUCCUCCUGCAGAUGCAGAAGAGUUCAUCAAUAAACGGUCAGCAUGUGUGAUGAAGCCAAGAGAUCAGAGCCCAGGGCCAAUGGGAAGCAGUGCUCGUGGGCAUCUUACAUGACCAACUCGCCAACUCUGAUCGUCAUGAUUGGCCUCCCAGCGCGAGGCAAGACCUACAUGUCAAAGAAGCUCACACGUUAUCUCAACUGGAUUGGAGUUCCAACUAAAGUCUUUAAUCUGGGGGUCUACAGAAGAGAGGCUGUGAAAGCAUAUAAGUCCUAUGACUUUUUUAGACACGACAAUGAAGAGGCCAUGAAAAUAAGGAAGAAGUGUGCAUUGGUGGCGCUGCAAGAUGUGAAAGCUUACCUGAAUGAAGAAGGAGGACAAAUUGCAGUAUUUGAUGCCACGAAUACGACCCGAGAGAGACGUGAUCUCAUCCUGAAUUUUGUAAAGGAGAAUGCGUAUAAGGGGUUUUUUGUGGAGUCCGUCUGCGAUGACCCGGAUGUUAUCGCUGCUAACAUUUUGGAAGUGAAGGUGUCGAGUCCAGAUUACCCAGAAGCUCACAGAGAACGAGUCAUGGACGACUUCCUGAAACGUAUUGAGUGCUACAAAGUCACUUACCAACCACUGGAUCCUGAUGAUUAUGACAAAGAUCUGUCAUUUAUUAAAGUGAUGAACGUAGGUCGCCGUUUCCUGGUGAACCGCAUACAGGACUACAUCCAGAGCAAGAUCGUCUACUACCUCAUGAACAUCCGUGUGCACUCUCACUGUAUCUACCUGUGCCGGCACGGCGAGAGCGACCACAACGUGCAGGGGCGCAUCGGGGGAGACUCUGAGCUUUCACCCCGCGGCAAGCAGUUUGCAGCAGCUCUGCGUGGGUUUAUUGAGGAACAUGGCUUGUCAGAUCUGAAGGUCUGGACCAGCCAGCUGAGGAGAUCCAUUCAGACAGCUGAGGCUCUGGGAGUGCCAUAUGAACAGUGGAAGAUCCUGAAUGAGAUUGAUGCUGGUGUGUGUGAGGAGAUGUCCUAUGAGAUGAUUCAGAGCUCCUUCCCGGAAGAGUUUGCACUUCGAGACCAGGACAAAUACCAUUACAGAUACCCAGGAGGAGAGUCGUAUCAGGAUCUGGUCCAGCGCCUGGAGCCAGUGAUUAUGGAGCUGGAAAGACAGGGAAAUGUUUUGGUCAUCUGCCACCAAGCUGUCAUGAGAUGCCUUUUGGCUUAUUUUCUGGACAAGAACGCAGAUGAUCUCGCGUACUUAAAGUGUCCUCUCCACACUGUCCUGAAGCUCACCCCUGUUGCUUACGGAUGCAAAGUGGAAAUGUUUUACCUGAAUGUGGAGGCAGUGAACACACACCGAGACAGACCUUUAGGGCAAGUUCGGAGGACUCCGCCCCCUCUGCUGCUCCGACGGAAUAGUUACACCCCUCUGUCCAGUCUCGACCAGGUCAAACGUCCGCGCCUGUACAGCGCCGGAAACCGGCCCUGGCUGCCCCUCGCUCCCUCCCCCUCAGCCCUGCACUUUCCUGACACUCCUGAAGGGGCGCUGCUACACAGCCAAGUUAGUGUCCAUGGUCGUUAUGCUGUUAACAGCAGACUAACUCAAUUCGUCCCAAUCGAUCCAGUUCAGUUCUCUCCUAUUUCUUCUUCAUGUCUCAUACUGCACUGUAUCAGACAACUCGUCCCCGUUCCAGCCAACCCGUGAUCCCGGUCGGGUUAUCGACAUUUUGUGCUGUGGUUUAUGUUCAUGUCUUGUUUCUCGCGCUUGUUUGUGUGCAUGACCUCUUGCAGGCUUGUGUGUGUUUGUGUUUUUGGCACUGUACAGUGCCCUUAGUGACCCUGGCAGACUGCAUGUUGUCUCUAUCUCUCACACUCUCUCUCCCUCAGUCCUUAUGGCUUACAAGCUGCUUCCUGUAAGCCUUGUAGCAGAGAGUCAUCGUUGGAGUACUGUGAUGCACCUCAUGCAUUGUGUGUGUGUGUGUGUGUGUGUGUGUGUGUGUGUGUUGUUUUUUUUUCCUUCUGACACUGAUAUCUGAGAAAUACUGCCUUAACAUUUACAGACCAAACACAUUAUGAAGUAAAAACGCUCUCAACCUGACCGAACAUAUUCAAUGUCCAAAAUGUACUUCUUUAGUUUUAAAUGGAAGCUAGAAGACUAAUAUUAGCACAAACUGCUUGUUUUGUUCAGAGUUGUGCUCAAGUUUGCGUACCCUGAAAGAAAUUGUAAAACAUUGGCAUUUACUUUGAAUAUAUGACUGAUAAGGCAAAAUAUUUUUUUCUUAUAUAAGGAUAGUCGUCACGUGAAGUUGUUGAUUAUCACAUAUCACAUGUCAACCCUGAUAAAAAGUUUAUAUAUCCUUGGUUGUUUGGCCACAUUAUAAACACACUGGUUGACACACAGCGGUUCAAAUAUCUAUUAAAGUUUUUACACCUGGGACUCGUCAGCUUUGUAAUUGUAAUUAGUGUCUGUGUAUAAAUAGUCAGUGAGUUUCUCAGCUCAUGAGAUGAUGCACUGACUUGGUUACUGCACAACGGGGAAGACAAAAGAACUGCCAAUGGACCUGCGUAAUAAGUUUCGAGUAUCAGGCAGUUUUCUGAAUCCUUGUGUGAAGGAAUCGUCUUUGAAGGCCCAGAAGACGUCGCUGGUUGUUUCCGCUAUUGAUUAGCCUCGAAGGUUGGGUGGAACUUCAACUCAACGUACAGCUUCAAUCUAGCACUCUGUAUAAAGCACUCUAUUAAAAUCUGCAUUACUGACGACUGCAAUACCUUCACCGGCGUUACCCCAAUACAUGCGUUCGGGAGCGCCAGAUAUUUGCAUGUGCGCUUUAAAAAAGUGGCACAUUUAGAAAUCAAGCUUUAAUGCUCCUUAGUUAGCAUGUGUGGGAGCUUGCAAGCUGAGAAUGCAGACAUUUAGCCAUGACAAACCGGUCAAAGGCCAAGUGUGAUUCAAUUUAAAGAUAAACAUUUAACAUUAAUGCAGUUUUUCUUUAAAUUUUGUCAUAGAAUUUUAACCAAAGAUGUUUUAAGUCAUAUUAACUUAUGUCAUAUCUGGGUGAUAGUCUGAUUCGGGUGUUGUUUAGUCCUCAUGUUUUUUUUUGUUUUUUUUUUUAAGGCAACAAUAGUUUUUAGAAAACACUGUAAAUGUGUAACAGGGUUAAAAGUUUGCGAUAGAAUUAGCAAACGCACAAAGUGAGCUUAUCUAACAUCCGUCCUAUUGAUACGAGCAAUUAAAAACUUUCCGACUAUUUAAAUAAUUUGUAAACAAUUUAAGUAAUAUAUAUAUAUAUAUUUUUUAGAAGAAUCAUUCACUUUCGGCUGAUCAUUUGGAAAACACUGGUGUACGUUCUAAAUGAAAAAUAAACCAGAGAAUUUUGCUUUUCUUUUUCCCAUGAUCUUUAGGGAAUGUAGAGGAUUUGACUUCCUGCUGAUUGUUGGAAUAUUCCAAGUAUUUGAUAUUGCUGUAUGUUGUGGGACUAAUGUACAGUUUUAUGAUCUAUAAUGAAUGAGGUUGUGUAUUUUUAUGAUUUUCCAGGUAAAGUGUAGUUAUAGUGGUCUGGAACAGGCAAGAAGUGCUUUAGAUAAAAAAUAAUUGAGCAGAAACACAUAUCAGAUGCUGUGAAAGAUACAUAACUUAAAAAAUUUUUUUUAUGUAAAUUUAUUUUUUUUGGGGAUUAAAUGGCACCUUGUUCAUGAACUCACCCUUCCAUGUCAUCUUGAUUAUCUGUCACUCCUGAAAUGCUAAAUCGUGGCUGUAAACCGAGACUUUAUUACAGAUUUAUUUUACAUAGUUCAAAUAAGAUCCACACAGAUGGUUCUCUAAAACUGGGUUAAUGUCGAACUGAAAUGUUGACUUUCUAUUUUAGGAAAAUGUUUUGUGUUACUUGAGUUGAUAUUUGGGAUGAUGUCACAUUAUGUAUACUUUUAUACAUAAUUGUACAGAAAUGAGGUCGAGAUGGUAAAUCGGCGCAGCCUUCAGGUUGUGUACUUGUACUUUUUAUAUAGACAUACAUUUGAAAUAUGUCUAAGAUCUAAGGUCUGAUUUCUUGUAAGUCAGCUGCAUGUAACAUUUCCCACAUAUUGCUAAAUGUAUCCGAGCUUUUGUGCAAGUCAGGACAAUGUUUGGUGCCAAGAAAAGAAGAGAAAACUAUUUAUUGUUUAAAAAAAAAUUUGUGUGUAUAUUCUGUCUUUUCUGCUUUUCAGUUAUGUGCUCUUUAUGUGCAAUAAAAGGCUCAAGUCAGAAA